rnacentral:rRNA from 1 species
UACGUAGGGUGCAAGCGUUAAUCGGAAUUACUGGGUGUAAAGCGUGCGCAGGCGGCUUUGCAAGACAGAUGUGAAAUCCCCGGGCUUAACCUGGGAACUGCAUUUGUGACUGCAUGGCUGGAGUGCGGCAGAGGGGGAUGGAAUUCCGCGUGUAGCAGUGAAAUGCGUAGAUAUGCGGAGGAACACCGAUGGCGAAGGCAAUCCCCUGGGCCUGCACUGACGCUCAUGCACGAAAGCGUGGGGAGCAAACAGG